CGCGUCUGUCCCGCGGAAUGCGAGGAGCGCGGGGGACGGGGGGCGCUUAAUCGUGGAAGGAAGCGAGGCGGGAGAGGCGCUGAGCCGCAGUCACCGCCAUCUCACCGGUGCCUGAGUGUUUCGAUACGUGUCAGUUCAGUGAGUGGGAAAACGCCGGUCUUGGUCAGCGUCUUCAUCAAUGACCUGGAAUAAGGGGUCUGUGACCACAGCCUUCCCAAGCACAGGCUGCUAAAGAGCUCUCACUUGGACGAGGUGUUUGGGCACGUGCUCUGAGAAAUCUCUCUUUGGGACAACCGCAGAAGAGAAAUGGCAAAGGCUUCAGAAAUAACGACCAGGGACUGGCGCUGGCCCCGUGUGGUGCCUCCACAGGGAAAAUUAGUGGCAAGCCAGCAUCUCGGCCAGCACUCGCCAGCCUUCUCUUUACAUGCCUGUACCCUUCAUCCAGACAGACAUCCUGAAAGCGUCUUCAGGAUAUCUUUUCAGUGGAGCUCUGUGAAUUCAGACUGCUCUUCCAAGCAGGCUUUCAGAGCGCAUCUCCACCUCCAGAAAAAGCCACCUUGAAUCUCUUGACUCUUCCUUUGUCAGAUCACUUUGGAUUUCCCAGUUCACAGAAG
ensembl:lncRNA